AAUGCACUAAUCUGCCAAAAUAAUAAAUUAAUUUUAUUAAAUUUUAUAAUAUUUUAUAUUAAUAUAAAGUCCUUUCGUACAAAAAUAUUAGAUUUAUUAAAAGAUAGAAACCGAUCUGGCUUACGCCGAUCUAAACUCAAAUCAUGUAAGAUUUUAAUAGUCGAACAGACUAAAAAUAAUUAUUUCUCCAUAAUAAUUUUAUCUUAAUUCAACAUCGAGGUCGCAAUCAAUUUUUUCAAUAUGAUCUCUUUAAAAUUAUUACGCUGUUAUCCCUAAGGUAAUUUAAUUUAUAUUCAAUAAUAUUGGAUAAAAAAUUCAUUAAUUAAUGUUAAUAAAUUAUAAAAAUUAAUUAAAUUUUAAUAUUUCCCCAAUAUAAUAAUAAUAAUAAAUUAUUUUAAAAUUAAUAAAUAAAUUUAACUAUAUUAUAAAAUUCUAUAGGGUCUUCUCGUCUUUUUAAUAAAUUUAAAAAUUUUUAUUUAAAAUAAAGUUUAAAUAUUAUUAAAUUUAUAAAGUUAUUAUUUCAUUAUUUCUUUCAUUCCAGACUUAAAUAAAAAGCCAAAUGAUUAUGCUACCUUUGUACAGUCAAAAUACUGCAGCUAUUUAAAAUUUCAUUGAGCAGAAAUUAUUUAAAAUUAUUAUCAAUAAACUAUGUUUUUAUUAAACAGUUGAAUAAUAUUUUUGCCUAAUUCAUUAAUUUAAUUUCUUAUAUAAUAUAAUUAUUUAUAUUAAAUUUUACUAAUUAAAUCAUUAUUUUUUUACUAAAAUUAUUAAAGUAAUUAAUUUUAUAAUUUUUAAAUAAUUUAUAUAAAUUUUAUUUAUAAUUAAUUAAUUAUAAAAAAUUAUUUAUUAAAAAAAAUUUUAAAAUUUAUAAAAUAAUAUUAAUUUAUAUUGAUAUAUUAUUAUUAUUAUUAAAUUUAUUUCUAAUAAUAUUAAAUAAAAUAAUAAUAAUAAUAAUAUAUUAAUUAAAAUUAUUUAUUUUAUUUUAAAUUAAAUUUAUUUAUAAAAUAACUAGAUAUUAUAAAUUUUGAUUAAAAUUUUUUUUCUAAUUUAUUAUUAAUAAUAUUAUUAAAACAAUAAUUAUUAUAAUAAAUUAAAUCAAUUUAUUUCGAGAAUUUUAAAAUUUUUAAUUAAAUUUAGAUUUACCCUGAUACCAAAGGUAAAAAUUAAUUAAAUUUUAUUUUAAAUUUAUUAAAAUUUUCUUUUACAAUACUAAAAUUAAAUUUUUAUUAUUUUUAAUUUAUUACUAAUAAAUUUUAAUUAUAUAAUUAUUUUUAUUAAUUUAAUUGAUUUUUAAAAUAUAAUAAUAUUUAAAAUUUUUAA
rnacentral:rRNA from 1 species